GGAAGGUUGGCAGAGCGGUAAUGCAGCGGCUUGCUAAGCCGUGAUGGGUAACCAUCCAUAGGUUCGAAUCCUAUACCUUCCGCCA
rnacentral:tRNA from 1 species